CGGCUCCUCCGACGGGGAAGAGGCAGAGGCUGGACACGGUGCCUCCCGGCUCAGUUGGCCGCUUCAUACUUCAGUGGCCGCGGCAGACGGAGGCUCCAGGCGCAGUGUUGCUUCGGCGCGGCAUGGCGGAGGCAGGCAGGAGCAGCGAGCUGAUGCCAGGAGGCACCACAUCCAGCCUCCACCUCUUCCCUGGCGCCCUCCAGAACUUGGUGCCCCGGCGCCCCAUGCCACUAGCCUCUAUGGGUAAGACGCCCCUGUGUAGGAACAGGGGUGAAGUUGCUGCUGUAGAGGUUUAGCUGCCUCAUGGAUGUGUAAUUUUAUUUUGCUCAACUGCACCAUUUCAGAUAUUGGUCGUCCCCUGGCGACAACCCUUCCCCAGAAUCCCAUGUGGCCUCUCCAGGCAGCAGCAGUGAAUGGUCAGUGACGGUUGGCAGCAAAUGCAAGCCGCCCUCCAUUUUGAAUUUCCCUCGGUGAUCCAUUGUGGUGCUUUUCUGGUGCAUUGAGGAAACAGGAGAAAUGGGCAAGAGGAUAGGCUGAAUCAGGGCCGGGCCAGCUGUUAGGGAACAUGGGCCACUGCCUCAGAUGGCAGAAGCCCCUCAAGUAGCACAUCCCCUGCUGCCCAGCACUGCUAGUAAGCCCAAAUGACUGUGCAGUCCCAGCACUUCCCAGCCUGCUCUGCUGCUUCUGCUCUCAUGUGUCUUUGUCACAUGACACUACCCACACCAAUUUUGGCCCAGAUCACCAUCUGCACCGAUGGCGGUGGCGGUGGCGCUUCUCACAGCGGGGCAUGUGGCAAAGGCAGAGCAGGUGAUGGGCAGGAGGAAGUGGUAGGUAGUGGCAGGAGCGGUGGCAGUGGCAGGGCAAAGAGGCACUUCCCAUUUGUUCUUAAAUGGCAAAAGAGGAUGCGCCACCCCAAAUACUCAGCAGGCCUCAGCAGUGCCCUGAAUUCAGACUUCAAUUUAGGGGGGAAAUAGGAAUUUGCCUUGAACCAAGUCAGUUCGCUAGUCCAUCUAGCUCAGUAUUGCUGAUACUGGCUGGGAGUGGCUCUCCACUGUUUCAGAGGCUGCAGUGUUUGGCAGCCCUACCUGGAGAUACCAAGGAUACCAGGGAUUGAGCCUGCGAUCUUUUGCAUGCAAAGCAGAUGCUGAACCACUGAGCUAUCACUGUUCCCCUUCAAUUUAGGAACUGCAUGAUUGAAAUAAUAAUAAUAAUAAUAAUAAUAGCAGCUGCCCCAUAUUUAAAGCAAAAAAACAUCAUGUGCAUACAGGACCAGGAAGAUAGAUCCAAUGCUUAGCGGUAAGAAUAGAAUCCCCUUUUAACAUUCUCCAUGAAGGCCUGCUAAAUCCUGCUGAGCCGCCAGCUCUACUGAAGUCCUACAUCAAGCCCUUGCUAAAGUCAACAAAGACUUGUUUGUUUCAGUUUUAUUAGCUGCCUUUAUUUCUGUGGUGUAACGUGAUUAAAGAACAUAAACUUUGUUGGAGGAGAGAAGAAAAAUAUGUUGGAAAUAGAGUGAGGCUUGAGGAAGAAGCAACAUUCAUAAACAUGUUUUUAAUCAGCGAAACCCAGAAGUAACCCGUUCCAGGUCCAUAACCCGAAAACGCGCAACCCGCAGCGUUCGCAACCCAAGAUUACCACUUUCACAAUAGAUUGCAAGCCCGACCAACAGCAUUCCUCAGGGUCGGCUCAAGACAUUUUGGCACCUGAGGUGAACCACGAAAUGGCUUCCACCACCACCAGGGAAGAAGGAAUGAGUGAAGAUCUACAUCAGGGAAAAGGUGGGAAUAAAGAUCAACAUUGGGAACAAGGAGGGAGGGAGGAAUCAAAUCAUCAUUAUUUGAUGACUGAAGGGGGACUUUGGUAAUAUGGUGCCCUGAGUGAGGACAAAAUUUGGUGCCCCCUCCCCAAUAUUUCUUAUUUCCACAGUCAUUUCUUUUGGUUGUUUUUUAAUGGAUCUUCUCAGUAGGUACCAUGAUGAUGAUGAUGAUGAUGAUUUUGCACCCUCCCAGCUCAGUUUCCUGUAUCAGGGAACCACCUGCACCACCCUAAAUCUGGCGCUGGCAUGAAUCUGGCCUAGGACCUGUCUGUACUGUCGGUUGGCAUGAAGUAAAGAGGUGAAGCGGGCAGGCUUCUUAUUUUCCAUGACAUGAAGGACCAGAAGGGAGACCAGGACUCUGCUGGGAAGGCCCUAAUUUCCAGGCCCUAAUUUCCAGCGGAGGAAUGUUGGAGGGUAUGGGAUUGAUUGGCAGGACAAGCGGAAGUGGAGACAAGCCGUAGGACUUUCCCAUUCCAACAUUUUAAGGGAAUCAAUUCACAGGUGGUUUGGCAGGUUGCAGCAUCCUUAAAGGUAAGGUGGGGGGGAAAUAUAUCUCUGCGUAAACUGGAAGCUUGUUGAAACUUUAUACGACAUUGUCUUUGCAACCAGCUGUAAUGUUAAAGUCCCUGUAUGGUUGUUCUCAAGCCAUAAUAACAAUUCUGGUAACAAGCAACUGGCUGCUUCACAAUCCCAUUAUCAGAGAACUGGAACUGGAGCCACAAUGUUCAAAUUAAU